UGGCUCAAAGGGUAAAGCGUCUGCCUGCGAUGCGGAAGACCCAGGUUCAAUCCCUGG
rnacentral:tRNA from 1 species